UACGUAGGGAGCAAGCGUUGUCCGGCAUCAUUGGGCGUAAAGCGCGCGUAGGCGGCCCCGUAAGUCCGCUGUGAAAGUCAAAGGCUCAACCUUUGAAAGCCGGUGGAUACUGUGGGGCUAGAGUACGGAAGAGGCGAGUGGAAUUCCUGGUGUAGCGGUGAAAUGCGCAGAUAUCAGGAGGAACACCGGUGGCGAAGGCGGUUCUCUGGGCAUUACCUGACGCUGAGGAGCGAAAGUGUGGGGAGCGAACAGG
rnacentral:rRNA from 1 species